rnacentral:miRNA from 10 species
UUGAUUAGGGUGUUUAGCUGUUUAAUAAAUGGUUGUGGGUUUAAGUCCCAUCAAUCUAGUAAGGGCUUAGCUUAAUUAA